UACAGAACAAGUGGCUCCUCA
rnacentral:piRNA from 1 species